rnacentral:rRNA from 1 species
AUUGAACGCUGGCGGCAGGCCUAACACAUGCAAGUCGAACGAGUGGCGGACGGGUGAGUAAUGUCUGAGAAACUGCCCGAUGGAGGGGGAUAACUACUGGAAACGGUCGCUAAUACCGCAUACCAUCUUCUGAGCCCAGAUGGGAUUGGGUAGUAGGUGGGGUAACGGCUCACAGAGGCGACGAUCCCUAGCUGGUCUGAGGGGAUGACCGGCAAAACGGGAAUUGAGACACGGUCCAACCCCCAACGGAGGGAAGCAGUGGGGAAUAUUGGACAAUGGGGGCAAGCCUGAUGCAGCCAGGCGGGGUGGUUGUAGAAGGUUUUCGGGUUGUAAAGUACUUUCAUCGAGGAGGCGUUACUCGCAGAAGAAGCACCGGCUAACUCCGUGCCAGCAGCCGCGGUAAUAC